UACGUAGGGGGCUAGCGUUGUCCGGAAUCAUUGGGCGUAAAGCGCGUGUAGGCGGUCCGGUAAGUCCGCUGUGAAAGUCGGGGGCUCAACCCUCGGAUGCCGGUGGAUACUGUCGGGCUUGAGUACGGAAGAGGCGAGUGGAAUUCCUGGUGUAGCGGUGAAAUGCGCAGAUAUCAAGGAGGAACACCGAUGGCGAAGGCAGAUCUCUGGGCCGUAACUGACGCUGAGGAGCGAAAGCGUGGGGAGCGAACAGG
rnacentral:rRNA from 1 species